CUUCUCUCUCUGUUUCUCUCCAUAACUAGAAUAAGAGGCAUCUGAGAGAUUGUUGGUUAGAUCCAUACCACAAUGGGAUUCCUGGUGACAACUCUAAUUUUUGUUGCAAUUGGUGUUAUUGCAUCUCUCUGCGCCAGAAUCUGCUGCAAUAGAGGGCCUUCUACUAAUCUGUUACACCUAACAUUGAUUAUCACGGCGACAGUGUGCUGUUGGAUGAUGUGGGCGAUUGUAUAUCUUGCACAGCUGAAACCACUCAUCGUUCCAGUUUUGAGUGAAGGGGAGUGAGUGCAUUGUACGUCAAAUUUUGUGUUGAUAGUUACUGGAGAUUGCUGGACCCUAAGUAUUCUUCUCUCAGGCUCUGUAAACUUUUCAUCUGCUGCGAAUAACUUGAUAAUUUAAUUUGUAUAUUGUUCACCUCUUAUAAAAUGGUUCUUUAUGAACCACCAUUAUAAUAUCCGCAGUCAAUUCUGGGCUGAAGGUGAGGACUGUAUGUAUUUUGGAUUGGACUCUGAGUUGGAUCAAGGAUGAUAAAUAAUCAAAUGGCUGUAUGUUCU
rnacentral:misc_RNA from 1 species